AGAUAUUUUGGCAAAGUCAAUGUGCAUUCGUCUAAUUUGAAGGUGGUUAAUCCCUAGCCAGCUGGUGAAGAUACAGCAAUGUGCAAAAUACGGGCCAACACUGCAAAUACAGAACAAUAACUAAUUAUUCUCCCCAGUCCCUCCCUUUGUAUUUUAUGUUGUUAUGGUAUUAAUAAUGUAUAGAGGAUGGUGUGUGUGAUUGUUGAGAUUCAAACUUUGCCUUUUUUCCAUAGAGUUAGAACUGAUACUUGCUUAUUAUGUUUUCACUUAUUUGCAAAACUGUCAACACAUGCCAAAAUUAUAUCAUUUUUAGUUAUAUGAAUUAUUGGGAAUGAGUAAUGCUAGUCCUUGAGAAUCAA